CCUCCAUGGCAUGACGGCGGUGCACUGCAUCGGCUAAAGCACCACCAUGGUGAGCCCCUCUCCAUCCUAUGUUCCCUCCGGUUGCUGCCAUGCACAUGACGUGUAUUUUUCUAACUGUACAAUAACACUUACUCCUCUACUGUCACAUACUAGAUGAUUGCUACUAGACUAAUAGAUUAGCCUUGAAUUCAUCUAGUUUGGAUCAAAACAGAACCAUUGAUUAAUACUAGAUGAUUUUUACUGUAAAUUUUGUUACAGAUUUCUUUGAACUAGUUUGAUUCCCUGUUGAUCUAUAUUUUUUACUUAUUCACAUGCUGGACUGAAUUUGCUACUGCUGUUACUCUAGUGUUGAACGAGAUAGGCAUUCUAUUGCUUGUUUCCUUGCUUCCACAAAUUAAAAUUCAGUAAUCUUGUUAACUGCUACCGUUGUCACGAACCACACAUCUGAGAUGAACUUGACAUUGAUUUGCUCCUUUGUCAAGUAUGGAUAGACUUUGCUAUUCACCAGUAUUCAGGCAGUUGAUGUGUGCGUGUUGCUGCAACUGUUAGGACAUUGUUGGAUUGUUAUCACUAGUACUAGUCCUAUCAAAUUGCAUGUGAGUAGUUCAUUACCAUGCUAUCCAGGGGAUAUUCCUUUUUGUGCCUGUGAAUUCGUUCUUGUUGUGUAUAUAUGUAUAUGUGCUAGCAACAUGAGUAGGAUUUAGCAUCAUGCUGGGCCUGGAUGAAUUGCAUGCAUACAUUGAUCCUGGGAGAAGUGUCUGGCUGAUACAAUCCUCUUUUUUACAAAGCUAUUAUAUACUUUGGGAAAUAUAGUAGUUUGUUAUUUACUGCCUGCACUGCAAGUAUGGAUGCUCAUGAUUGCAUGCAUCCAGGGUGAGUCGUACCUAGUUGUUCUUUAUGCAUCUCCAAGUUACUAUUGAAAAAGCUCGCAUAACUAGUUGUUUCUUUUCAGAUUAAACCUGAGACCUCUUUUGUUUUAUCUUGAGAGCUAUGACUGACGGCCAAACCGUUGUUUUUCUGUGCUAGACUCACUCCACAGCUUUGUUUUGUUUUGUGCCACCUGAUCAUUAUGCCAUCCUAUUGAUAUUGAUGCAAUGGAAUUUAUAGUUUUGCUGUCCCCUGAGCUGAGAUGCUUAUCUAGUGUUUAUGGCUUAGUAACUGUCCUCUGAAUUUGAAAUUAUACUAGUAUUGCUCUACACUCAGCAGCUAGCUCUGUUUUGUGGCACCUGUUACUUAUGCCACGGUAUUGUUUCAAUGGAAUCAGUACAAUUUCUUUGCACAUUGGGAUUGCUCUGUUUGCUUCAUAUUAUGGUGUUAAUGUCUUACUAGCUAAUUGUGGCGGCCGUCUGGAUUGUCGCUCAUAGUAUUGCUGGUGGUGGUGCUGUUGUGUAGGUUGACAAAAAUGCUCUGCAUCUUGAGAAGCAAAUAUCUUAAAACUUUGACUUGGAUCUCGACGGCGACGGCAUCCAACGAACACAAGGUCGCUCCCAACCAACAAGUUUUUUUUCUUCCAAGUUAAUAAUGUGGAUUGUGACGUUUAUCUGUGCACUGAUUUUCAGAGUGGAUGGCUGUACCAUUUAAUUUUGAUUACUAGCACUAGUAGUUGUAUUCAGUGUGAGCUGGAAGACUAACUGAUUCAGUUUUCGAAGCCAUCUUUGCUGUUCUGGUUGUGUUUGCACAGCUCACUUGUUGUCAGUGCAGUUCUCUUACACAUAUUUGUUUGUUGGGGUUUAAUUUCUAGAAUC
rnacentral:lncRNA from 1 species